GCCGGCGCCGUCCGUGGCCUAUCGGUGAGAGCGGUGAGCUCAGAGCUACGACUUCGGAAUGGGCAUUGGCCCCCGGGCCGACCCUGAGUAGCUUGACCGGAGCAGUCGCUAGCAAAAGCUCGGCGACGGUCGUCUCCGCUACCAGAAAGAACGAGCGCACCUCAUUUAAAAAAAAAACACCAAAACACCAAAACCCAAACUUGGUCACCUGGCGUGUUCAGCAUGGAGAAGAAUGAGGGCAAGCCUCAUCGCAGGCUACAGCUUCCUCGGGAGGGGCAGCGGAGGGGUAGCUCCGAUCACUGUUCUCUGCGACGGGUGACAGGACCCGAGGGAGCGGCUGCAGGUGUGUCAGGGGACAUUUAGGCAAAUAUAUCAGGAUAAGAUGCUUCCCCCAAAGGAUGGUGGGGCACUAAACAGGCUCCCAGGGUAGUGGUCACGGUGUCAAGGCUGGCAGAGCUCAAGGUGUGUUCAGACAAGGCUCUCAAGGACAGGGUGUGCUCUGCAGGAGUUGGACUGGAUGAUACCAUGGGUCCUUUCCCACUCAGAAGAUUCUGUGGUUUCUAGAAUUAAAAACAACAAAAAACCCCCAACCAAAUAAAGCAAGAAAAAAACCCCAACAAACAAAACCCCCUCCAAUAACUUAAGGGUGAAACCAAACUAAUCACAGUCCCCACAGACUCUUCUAACAAGGCUUAAGUAAUGGAAGCAAUGUUUCCAGGGGAGAUGAGGGGUUCUCCACCCCUGGGAAAAAUCGUUUGAAUCAUCUGAAUAUCAGCGAAUCAUCUGAAAUAUACCCAGGGCUCUUCCAGUUGUACAGGAGGAGACUCACAUGCACUUGAAGAUCCCUUUUUCACUGAUCUGGACAGAAGAGGAUGGAAACAUUAGAGAUGCAAUCAUUUGUUAUCAGCAUUACUCUGGCAGUGCUGGUAUUGAAUGUUAUUUGUAAGUCGGAAAAGGACACAAACCCUGUCUCCUGCACAAGUGUGUGAGCAAUACUGGCUAAGGCAUCUUGGCACGUGAGCAACAUCAUUCUGCACUGGACAGGAAGAAUUGAUCCAGCAUGCCUCUGCAGAUCUUACGCAGGAAUCUCCACUGAACUCAGCGCUUCAUUCCAGAUGUGGCCGAGGAAUGGAAACCUAAUGCAAAGUGCAAGGCUGACACCUGGAGGGGCUGCAAGAGGCAGACAGGGAGCCCGGAGCAGCCACAGAUCCUUCAACACAGCUGGCCUUCUGACUCCCAGAAUAUCACUGAUGCUCAGCUCAUCCUGAUGAACAUACUAAACCACUGCAAACAUUCUCCACCCAGACGAGCCUAAAGGAUAUUUUCUGGACUCUCGUUCCUGCAAAGCGGCUUGGCACCAGUAUGGGGAAGUGUCCACGUUCAUACCUUCAGACCUGUUUGUGCUCCCAAAGAGAUUAGCAAAGGUAAAUUUAAGCACAUAUUUAAAAUUAAGGACAUUCUCUUGCUUUGGAGUUGGAAUCUCUACCCCUUCCUAAGUGACUCCCUCUGAAUCUCUGCGUUUUUCCAAAAAGAAGGUGUUCAAGUUAAGAAUAACUUGCUGCCUUCUAGAGAAUUUGUCUUUUCCAGCUUGAAGAGAGAAAUCCAGGAAGCAUCAAUAAAUCCACUUUGACAGUGCAGUAAAGAGCUGCAAAAGGAGUAACCUGUCAUGGUAAUAUGACUUAAUUUCUCAGAGAAAGAUCGUUUCUUUAUAAAUGAAAUGAAAAUGCCUGCAAAGUGAAAUAGGAGGAAAUGUCACACUUGAUUGUCUCUCAGUAGGACAGAAAUUAAAUAAAAAGAAGGCAAGGUAAGCGACAGGGUUUAAUGUUUAACGAGGGAAGUAAUAACAUAAACUGAGAAUAUUAACAUCCACUGAAAAUCUAUGCACAGCAAUCCAAGUAUGUCAAAGGGGUGUUUUCCCACAGAAAUGUUCAUUUAAUGUGCAAAUAACAUAAACUGAGAAUAAUAACAUCCACUGAAAAUCUAUGCACAGCAACCCGAGUAUGUCAAAGGGGUGUGUUGCCACAGAAACGUUCGUUUAAUGUACACAUUUUCCCGUGAACAAAAGGCGGAUUCUGUGCUGGGAGCGCAGGAUCGGUGGAGAUGCUGUGAUCGGACAUGCGGGGGCAGCCUUACCUGCAGCUCAGCACAGCCUUGCAGCACCGGGGCCAGGCCCUGCAGCCAGCUCGCUUUGGCCUCCUGGGUUCCCAUGGCAAGCUCUGGAGCUUCGCCCCUUUCGAAACAAGAGACCCAUGCAGGCUUUCCAGAUUUCCUUAUUCAAAGGGUGAGCACUGUACCUUUAAAUAAACACAGAGAUCUCAGUCCAAAUGGGAGCUGAAGCCUGGGCUAUCCUCGAUUAUGAAACCUCCCUUUCAGAGCUCACAGGCUCGGGGGCUGCAGCUACACUCCAAGGUUAAUAAUCAGGUUUUAAUAUUCACUUAGGGGGCUGUAAAAAAAGAAUGAAAAUUUCCUAAUUUGAAAAUGGACUUGAUUGGCAGCUUUAUUAUCUCUAUAAGAUGCAUGGCAUUCCAACACAAUCAAGUAAUUUUUAAAAAUAAUCUCACUGCUUAAGUCGUACAUGCUGCUAAUUGCAUUUUAAUAAGUCUCUUUAAAAUCUUUCCGUAUUUUUAAUAUCCUAAUAUUAGAUAAGUGAUUGCUGGGGACACUGGAGGGCACUGAGGUUUAUAGAAAGAGGAGCACCAUAAUGAAGCUUUAUUGGGAUGGCACCACCAAACAAUUGCUGUGAUAGCAACACUCUCAAGCUUGGAGAAAUGCCAGCCAUUCCCCUCUUAGAACUGACUCAGGCACAGGCAUCCCUGGCUUAGGACUGACAGAGAAAAUGGAUGCUUUCUGGAUCCUAAAAUGGCCUCUUUCCAUCUUGGAAAUGACUGUGAAACUGUCCAUUAUGGAUUUGGAAAGGAUUUGGGAACUGU